CCUGACCUCAAGAGAUUUGCCUGCCUUGGCCUACCAGAGUGAUGGGAUUACAGGCCUGAGCCACUGUGCUGGGCCAAGAUUUGUUUUCCAGAAUCAUGGUAUGCCUUUCCAUUUUAAAAAGUCUUUCUUUUAUGGUAAAGUCAGCUUAUGUGGCUAUAUUACUGUCAAAUGAAUCCCAUUACUAAUCUCUACUUAAAUAAAACUUUGUGGAAUAAUAAUUUGAAAGCAAAGAUAAGUAAAAGAAGACAAAGAUUUCUUGUAAUCCUGCCAUUUAGGGAUAACUGUAUACAUUUAGGCAUAUCAUGGUGCUGUAUCUUCCACAGAGGUUAAAUGUUUAGGAUACAAGAUAUCGGCAUUUGUAUCAGGAAUGCAUUCUCAUUUAAGUAAAAAGAAGCCUGCUAACAAUAUGAUUUUAUUACUCAUAAAGAGGUUUGAAGAUACUGGUUCAGUGACUCAGUCAAGUAAAAAAUGAUUCUAUACAGUUCUUUUGGCCUUUCUCUCGUAGUCACGAGAUGAUGGCUGCUAGGACAGUCAUUUUAUAGAUCUUUGAGCUAAGAGGGUGACAGAAUGUUUUAUGUCAGUUUGUCCCCUUGUCGUAAAAUGAAAGCUGUUUUUGGGUACCUCUGGUCUUGCCUGCUCACAUGACCACUUCUCCAUGCAGGUAAGGUUGACAAGCAUGCAUGUGGCUUUUUAAUCUCUAUUGUGGGACGUGGGAUUAGAUUGGCCUUUAGGUAGCCAGUCAACACCACCUGCCUUUGCAAAUGAGACCAGAAUUACUUUUGAUCUUCAAUUGUACAAGCCAAGUUUUUAGACAGCAGAUAAAUAAGUUCUUCCAUAUCUUCUUUAACCAGUGUUUAUCUAAGCUCCUUAAUUUAUUCAUUUCUUUCCCUUAGUGAUUUCUAGGAAGCCAUUACCUCUAUUUGCCUGGCACCUAUCCAGUGCAGAAAAGGGUCCUGAAAACCCGAAAUGUCAUUCAUAGUGUGUUUCCAUCAUUUUUAAAUGCCAUUUCUUAAUUGCGUAAGACUGAAUUGCUUUGGGCAUUCCUCACUGAGCUAGAAUGCUAACUCUACAGCAGGUUCUUGAAUAACAUCCCUUUGUUAUAACGUUGAUGAGAAAAAGAAGUUGAUUCCUGGAGGGCCCUAUUGUCUGUGUGAAGUUACACAUUCUCUCCAUGUCUGUGGGUUUUCUCCGGAUACUCCAGAUUCCUCCCACAUCCGAAAGCUGUGCAUGUUCUUCAAAUUGUCAUGUCUGAAUUAUCCCAGUCUGAGUGAGUGUGGGUGCAUGCGCCCCAAGAUGGAAUAGUGUCUUGUUCAGGGCUAGUGUCCAAUCUGUGCCCUGAACUGCCGAAAUAGGCUCCUGCCACCUGCCACCCUGAACUGCAUUAAGUGGGUAAAUAUAUAACUUGUCAUUUAUCUCAAAUUUAUGCACAGCUCACAUUUAUUUCAGUAUUUAAUAUUAGCAUUUUUGUCUUCAUUUAGAGGUUUGGUGAUGUUUUUGCAACCCGAAAUAUGCCGUAGCAACUCACCUUUGUUUAUGUCAAUUAGGCAAUGGGGAAAUUUGUCUUGUGGUACAUCAUUUUGCUUAAAAUUGAAGUUUCUAAGAACCUUUAGAUGACGUUAAGUGAAGAACUUGUUGUAUUUCUGCUUAUUUAUUUGCUUUUUACUGUGAAGAAAUAAUUGAACUUCUGUGAAGGGUGCAUUUGCUUUUAGUCCACUGCGUCCUGCUCUAGGCUGUCCAAGCCCGGGGUGCUCCUAUGAUAAGAAGGCAAUGUGAGAAUUCUCACAGGGCCCUAGCCUGACCUUUGGAUUAGGUUCUCAUGGUGCUGCUCUGGUUUCUAGUUUCCGCAAUGCUAGGUUCCCCGGCUUGCCUGACCUUACCACCUUGUGCUUCUGAUUAAUGUGGUUCUCUAAAUCCCAUUCAUCUGACACUUCCAGACUUGUCAUUUUUAUUAGGUCUCAUUGCUUCAGCAGUUAUGGCAUUCUCCUGACUAAAUAGAAUUCUUUCUUACCUAGGAAAAAAUAGUAGCUUUAUUUUAACUAAAGCUGUUUUCACAAGUGUGUGAAGAGCUGGAAAAUUGCAAUUAGCUUCAGAUAAGCACAGUUGAAAUAUUCUUGUUUUGUACUAAGGCAACAAAUUGAAAGAAAGCUUGAGGGCAUUGAGUCAUUGUAGUUUCUAACGAUACAAUGAAUACGUUAUUGGGUUUGUGUAUUGUACUGGGACCUUGUUACUUACAAAAUCUAAAAUAAAAGGAUCUUAAUGUGUCUUUAGUAAUCCUCAUGCCUUUUAAUAAGAACUUUUAAUUUUUAGUCCCUGAGUCAUCACAUUUUGGUAUUGCUAGCCCUCCUGUGGCCAAACUGAAUACUUUCCUAAUUAAUUUUAAUAAUAGAAAGCCUCAUUAGGAAUGCACUGAUCUGCUGGGAUGACUGUGGUGACACACGAAGUCACGAAAGGAGGAGGAAAUCAUUUUGGGCAUUUCAUUGCCAUCUUUUGUUUAAAAUGGAUAUUUCAGGCCAGGGAGCACUAUUUGUGGUCAGCAUUUGGGAGGCUGAGUGUUAUAUUUUCAACUGUUAUAUAUCAUUUGUUUGAUUUGUGAUAAUGGGUUGUCACACUCUGGCAUUAGUGGUCAUUUUUAAUGGCCAUUUUCUAGUGGCAUAUGAAAUUGAAAAAGACUAAAGUGUUGGAAGGAAGGAAAGUUUGGGUUUUUUAAUUAUUAAAGUAUCCCAAAUAAAAAUGGACUUGUAAAGAAUGUCUCAAGAAAUAUGUCAGAAAAGUCAGUCAAAAUUGGACAGAUGAGCUUUUGCUCAUGAACAUCUGUAAAGCAUUGAGUUUAAUUGCCCUGCUGCUGCUGUUGGCUGCGAGGUUUCUAGUUUUUCUCUUCCGUUUCUCCUCCAUCUUCAGAUGUCACUUCAUUUCCUCUUUCCUACUGUUGCCUGGGUCACGUGCAUUUGCUUGUAUAGAAAAAGUAAGACGAUUUAGUUAUUUUUAAGAUCCUAAAGACAAGCAUGCUUAUCUGUUAAAGCCUUUUCCUCCAAGCACCUGUUAAGAGUUGAAUUUAAUCUACGCCAGCUGUAGCCUAGUUAUGUGUAGCUGGAGUAGGAGGUGUCUGAUACAUUGUCUUCUCUGUUUUCAUUGAGAUGGAUUUGGUAAAACUAGGUAACAUAAGUUAGUUGGGAAAAUUUAGAUGUACCUUAGAUUAGAUGAAGACCGUGCAAAAUAGGGCUUUAAAAUACAGCGAUUCAAAUAUAUUUGCUUAUACUUUUAUCUGAAUUACAAAUUGGAUAGACAGUUAUUUCUACAGAAUUGCCCGAAAUUAUAUUACACAUUGAGACCACUGACUUUUGACACUGGCCACUUUGUCCAUUUGUAUUUUCUUGCUGAGUUACUCUUUUGGACAUAAUUCUGCAGAACGGAAGUCUUUAAAGAAAAAUGAAGGUGCUGAGACUGUUUUAUUCUUGUUGACAUAUGAAUAUGAUUCAAAUUGAGUUUUAGGGAAAGAUCACUUCAUAGAAAUUCUUUUAUUUUACCAACUCAGUACCAGGUUAUAUUAGUCCAUUCUUGCAUUGUUGUAAUACCUGAGACUGUGUGAUUUAUAAAGAAAAGAGACUUAAUUGGCUCAUGGUUCUGCAGGCUGUAUGGGAAGCAUAGCAGCUUCUGCUUCUGGGAAGGCCUCAGGAAAUGUACAAUCAUGGCAGAAGGCGACAGGCAAGCAGGCCCAUCUUAUCUGGCUGGGGAAGGUGCCACACACUUUUAAACAACCAGAUCUCAUAGAACUCACUAUCAUGACAACAGCAUCACAGGAGAAAUCCACCCCUAUGACCCGGUCACCUCCCACCAGGCUACAUCUCCAAUAUUGAGGAGUAUAAAUCGACAUGAGAUUCAGUCGGGGACACAGAUCCACACCGUAUCAUAGGUCAAAUUGAAGCUCCUAUUUUUUUGUCCUCCUUCUCCACUUAUUUUAAAUUGGAAAUUAAAAAAUAGAAUAUAAGAUGUUUUAGUCUUCAUGAAAUACUUUUACCAAACCAUACACCAUACCUUAAACCUAACUAAAGCUCUUUUUGUGAUUAAUUUUGAAGGAAAACCCAGUCAAAUGCUGAAUUUUGAUGACCAGGAGACAGACUAAGAUUUUUCACUGUUCAUUUAAUAUUUUUUAAGAUUUGUAAUGUAUGAAGCUUUUGACAUGUGAUGUGAAAGACAAAAAGGAGACAUCUCUUAAUUCUAUUCUUAAUGAGUGGAAAUAUUUUCUAAUCUGGGAGUUAGCUGCAAACUAUCCUGGACCUGAACCUUGAGGCCUAUGGGUGAAGGUUGCUAAGGCCAGGGCCAAGUAGUCUGAAUCACAGUGUUCCAGGGGUUGGAGGAACUCAAACAUCACCUAGUCAAGUACAGACAACCUAGAGGUCUAACGUGGUGUGAGGGCGCAUUGCAGUGGAAAUUGAAUUUGGUGAAUAGUGGUGUUGGGAUGCCCAGUUUCCGUUUGAAUUAGAAUCGUAAUUAGUAGCCUUGGGAAAUAUUUCUCCCAUUUUCAGAACCACAGCAAAAUGGAUUGAGAUUCAGGGAACCAUAACCUAAUUAGGAGCCAAGGGAGGAGCUAAUUCCCAAGGAUUGGACUUGCCUGGUGGGCUUGAUAGACAGGACCAUAGGCUUGUUUUGCUUUCCGAAGCAUGCUGAAUCCUGGGCUUAAUCUCCUUCACUCUUAGUUUUCUCAUCUGUGAAAUGACAGUAGUCAAUAAUUAUAGUCACCUCAUGGGGUUGUUUAUGAUCAUUAAAAGAGAAAAUCCAUAAAUAACAUGUAAAAUACUGCCUAGACAUAAUGAAUGUUCAGUAGAUAUGUUGGCAAUUACAGUUACUACCUACUCAGAGGAAUGGGUUUUUACCUUAGGCCCCAGAGUUGUUUAGAGAUCACCUUGAGGAUUUGUUAAAACACUGAUUGCUGGAAAUGACCUUCAGAGUUUUCUUGAUUCAGUAGCCCUGGGGUAGAGUUGCCAAGUAAAGUAUAAAUUUGAAUUUAAAUUAAAUUUGAAUUUCAGAUAUACAGUAACCAGUCUUUUAAGUAUGCCCCAUGCAAUAUUUGGAACACACUUAUACUAAAAAAAUUCAGUAUCUGAAAUUGUUUAUCUGAAAUUGUAAUUUAACUGGGCUGAAUUCAUUGUUUAUCUGAAAUUUGAAUCAUAUGGGUUUUUGUUUUUGUUUUUGUUUUGACUAAAUCUGGAAAGCCGAGUCUGGGGUGGGGCAGUUUGAAUUGGCAUGUCAAAUGUGUUCCUUCCCAUGUGAUGCUACUGGUGGUUCUGGACAACACUUUGAGAACCUCUGGAUAUGUACAGCUGGAUUGAACUAAGGAAUAUGUUGACAAUCAUUUACAACUAACUAUAGCAGAAGGCGUCACAUUCCCUGGGAGUUCAAAAUAUGCCCAAGAUACAAGGCAAUAAUGUUAGUGUCUAAAUAGUGACACUUUAGUGGGGGUUAUAUAUUUGUGGCUAAGUCUUUAAGGAACAUGAGAUUGAGUUCAUUUAUAAAGGUAUGCAACUAGGUGCAUUGGCCUAAAUAAAAAUAUAGAUUCCAUCUUUUUUGCAUGAUUUUCAUUGAGCUACAUCUUCAUGAAUUUCAUAUUUGUAGCUUUUUAAUGCCAAGAGUUAUUUUUGGGGUUUGGAGUGAGAGAACCCAGGGUGAAACAUUAAACUCAUCUGUAUUUUAUCUAUAAUCUCUUUAAGUCAGAAGCCAGUAAUUAGAGUCAUACAGGAGGCACAUGAUGUAAAAGAGUACACAUAAAGCAUGGUUUAGCAGACAGUGAGCACUUAAAUACAGACUAAAGUAGGAUUAGGAUUAAUAAAACUCAAAUCCUCAAUUUAGUGGGUAAGUUUUUAAGCCAUUGUUAACAAAUCCUCUGAGUCAAGUUGUUUUUUUGUUGUUGUUCUUGUUUUUGACCAGGAACAUCACUGAUUCGUGGUAGA